rnacentral:rRNA from 1 species
AAGGUCGUUUAAAAAAACGAAAAGAUUUAAGGAAUUUUUAAUUUUGAUUUAAAUUUUACCUAUAAAAAGUAAACUUAAAAAAAAUAUAGAAAUAUUUUUAAACCUUGUGAAUUGAAACAUCUUAAUAGCAAGAGGAAAAAGAAAUCAACCGAGAUUUUGAAAGUAGUGGUGAGCGAAAUCAAAAAAUGCCGUAAAUUUAAGUUUUAUUGAAUAUAAUUUUUAUUGAAUUAAAAGUAAAAUAAGGUGAAAGCCCUGCUUUAAUUUCAUUUAAAUUUAAAUUUAAGAGUAAGACGGAAUGUUUAUUUUGUUUGAAUAUAGGAGACCCACCUUCUAAGCAUAAAUAUUAAAAACAUUAAUAGAGAAAAGUACCGUGAGGGAAAAAUGAAAAGAAUCUAAGAUAGAGGUGAAAUAGAACUUAAAAUUGAAUAUAUAAGAGCAACUGUAGUUUUAUUUAAAUGACAGUGUACCUUUUGUAUAAUGGGUCAGCGAGUUAAUAAGUUUACUAAGUAUAGUUUUAAAAGAAUGAUGCGUAGCGAAAGCGAGUUUAUAAGAGCGUUAAAGUAAAUUUAUUAUUACCCGAAACUGGAUGAUCUAACCAUGUACAAGCUGAAUUUGUUUUUAAAAAGGCAUUGGAGGGCUGAACUCACAUAUGUGGAAAAAUAUGGAGAUGAUAUGUGGUUAGGGGUGAAAGGCUAAUCAAAUUCAGAGAUAGCUGGUUUUCUGCGAAAUUUAUUUAAGUAAAGCAUUAAAAGAUUAAAAUUUGGGGUAGAGCACUUGAUAGGCUAGGGGGAUUUUAAAAUUUUACCAAAUUUAACUAAACUUCGAAUACAAAUUUUUAAAAUUUUAAUAGACAGAUUAUGAGUGCAAAGAUUCAUAUUCAAAAGGGAAAAGCCCAGAUUAUAAGUUAAGGUCCACAAAUAUAGUGAAAAGGUAAAUAAGGUGGUUAAAAUGAAUACGGUUAAAAGGUAGGCUUAGAAGCAGCCAUCCUUUAAAGAAAGCGUAAUUGCUCAUUAACUUAGUUUUUUUCUGCCGUCGAUGUAAUGGACUUAGCUAUAUACCGAAACUAUAAAUAAUUAAAUUAUAUUUUAAUUAUGGUAGCAGAAUUUUCUAUAGUUAACUAAUAGUUUAAAUGUAAAUUAAAUUAUUAUUAUAUUAGAAUUAAGAAUGCUGGUAUGAGUAACGAUAAUUAAUGUAUGUUUUAAACAUUAUCACUGUAAGCCUAAGGGUUCCUAUUUUAAAGUUAAACUGAUUAGGGUUAAUCGGGCCCUAAGAUUAUAAUGUGAAAAACAUAAAUUAAUGGAAGCAAAAAAAAAUUAAUAUUUAUAAUUAUUUAAUGAGAUUUAGUGACGUUAUUUUAUUAAUAUAAUGAAUUUAAUAAGUUUUUUAUUAUUAUUAAUAAAUUUAACCUAGAAAAAGCUAAAUUUUAUAGAAAAAUUAUUUUAGUAAUUUUUCUAUAAAACCGUACUAAAACCGACACAGGUAGGCUAGUAGAGUAUACUAAAGUGAUAGAGAGAACAAUUUUGAAGGAACUCGGCAAAAUGAUCCUGUAACUUAGGGAGAAAGGUACCCUUAAGAAUAAUAUUAUUAUUGCAACAAUCAGGCCCAAGCGACUGUUUAUCAAAAACACAGGUCUCCGCUAAGUCGUAAGACAAUGUAUGGGGGCUGACGCCUGCCCAGUGCCGGAAGGUUAAGGAAGCUGGUUAGCUUUAAAGCGAAGCUAGUAACUGAAGCCCCGGUGAACGGCGGCCGUAACAAUAACGGUCCUAAGGUAGCGAAAUUCCUUGUCGGGUAAGUUCCGACCCGCACGAAAGGCGUAACGAUUUGGGCACUGUCUCCAAUAGACUCAGUGAAAUUGAAUUCUGUGAAGAUGCGGUCCGCGGUCAGACGGAAAGACCCCGUGCACCUUUACUAUAGCUUCACUGGUUAAAAAUAUUAAAUGUGUAGGAUAAUUAAGAGUUUAUAACCCCUUAAUUCUGGUUAAUUGGGUAGGCGUCCUUGAAAUAUUAAUCUUUUAAUAUUUUUAACCUAACUUUUUGAAAAACAUUGUAUAAUGGGUAGUUUGACUGGGGCGGUCGCCUCCUAAAAAGUAACGGAGGCGUGCAAAGGUUCUCUCAGGCUGGUCGGAAAUCAGUCGUAGAGUGUAAAGGCAUAAGAGAGCUUGACUGUGAGACAUACAAGUCGAACAGAGACGAAAGUCGGCCUUAGUGAUCCGGCGGUACCGAGUGGAAGGGCUGUCGCUCAACGGAUAAAAGUUACUCUAGGGAUAACAGGCUGAUCUCCCCCAAGAGUUCACAUCGACGGGGAGGUUUGGCACCUCGAUGUCGGCUCAUCGCAUCCUGGGGCUGGAGCAGGUCCCAAGGGUACGGCUGUUCGCCGUUUAAAGAGGUACGUGAGCUGGGUUUAGAACGUCGUGAGACAGUUCGGUCCUAUCUAC